GAUGAACGCUGGCGGCGUGCCUAAUACAUGCAAGUCGAGCGAACGGACGAGAAGCUUGCUUCUCUGAUGUUAGCGGCGGACGGGUGAGUAACACGUGGAUAACCUACCUAUAAGACUGGGAUAACUUCGGGAAACCGGAGCUAAUACCGGAUAAUAUUUUGAACCGCAUGGUUCAAAAGUGAAAGACGGUCUUGCUGUCACUUAUAGAUGGAUCCGCGCUGCAUUAGCUAGUUGGUAAGGUAACGGCUUACCAAGGCAACGAUGCAUAGCCGACCUGAGAGGGUGAUCGGCCACACUGGAACUGCGACACGGUCCAGACUCCUACGGGAGGCAGCAGUAGGGAAUCUUCCGCAAUGGGCGAAAGCCUGACGGAGCAACGCCGCGUGAGUGAUGAAGGUCUUCGGAUCGUAAAACUCUGUUAUUAGGGAAGAACAUAUGUGUAAGUAACUGUGCACAUCUUGACGGUACCUAAUCAGAAAGCCACGGCUAACUACGUG
rnacentral:rRNA from 1 species